AUGAGUGAUAAGUGGAGGCUGACAGCAAAACUGAGUGUGUCUGCCAUUUCUUUUUCACCCUACUUGACACAGGUUUUUGUUAACACAUGCCAUAGGCUGUGUUCUGUUAAUAUCCAGUAUUUUGGAGAAGGAACGAAAGUAACAGUUCUGGGGAAGGAUGAUGAAAAAAUCAUACCACCGACUGUGGCCAUCUUUUCACCGUCAAAGCAGGAGAUUCAACAGAAGAAUAAGGCCACUCUGGUAUGCCUGGCCUCUGGUUUCUACCCUGAUCACCUCAAUUUAGUCUGGAAGGUGAAUGGCAACAAGAGGACAGAAGGAGUGGGAACAGAUGAAAUUUCCACAUCAAAUGGGAGCACUUACGCAUUGACCAGCAGACUGAGAAUCUCAGCCCAAGAGUGGUUCAACCCUCUGAACCGUUUUGAGUGUAUUGCUGAAUUUUUUCACGAUGGACAGCAAUCAAUACAUAAAUUCAUCCAUGGUGAUACUGGCUGUUAUAUCUCCAGUGAAAACUAUCAAAGAAGUGCUACAGCUGGGAAGUUUGUAUACAUAAUGCUCAUUUUCAAGAGCUUUUUGUAUGGGAUAUUUGUAAUGGGGAUGAUGCUUUGGUACAAGAAAACGUACUAGAUACGCUUUGCCCUGAAGAGGAGGAUAGAUAUCACGCAAGUAGAAAGCCUCAAGUCUUCGUAUAAACGUUCUGCUUCAGGAACCAAUAAAACUAUAUGGCAAUCUCAACCUA